rnacentral:misc_RNA from 1 species
CAACCAUCAAGCCCUAGGCUUGUGUUGGGGCACUGCGGCUGCCGCAGGCCCCUAAAAGCAGUGGCGGACUCGCUGUCAUACCGAGCGCAGUAGCAUAUCUCGCUCAGGGCGUGGCGGCGGGCACCGGCCGUAAAACAACUAAAACUUAA